GGCCAUACCACCCUGAACAUGCCCAAUCUUGUCUGAUCUUGGAAGCUAAGCAGGGUUGGGCCUGGUUAGUACUUGAAUGAGAGAAAAGUGCC
rnacentral:rRNA from 1 species